GAAAAAUGACACAGAUUGGUCUUAUGGAUGUGAACAAAAUUUCGAGCUGUCUUGUUCGGACAAUAAUUCGAUUGGUUUCUUCCAACUUCAUGAUGCUGAAUUUUAUGGCUAUGACAUUGGAGUAUACUAUAAUGUCACCAUAGAGUCCUGCAAAAAUAUUUGCGUGAGAAACUGUGAUUGCAAAGGAUUUCAGUAUAAAUACGAGACACAGAGUGGCACUUACAAUUGCUUCCCGAAAACAUUAUUGUUUAACGGAUACCAGUCGCCUUCUUUUAACUAUCCGGC
rnacentral:lncRNA from 1 species